rnacentral:rRNA from 1 species
UAGGGAAUCUUCCGCAAUGGACGCAAGUCUGACGGAGCAACGCCGCGUGAGUGAAGAAGGUUUUCGGAUCGUAAAACUCUGUUGUUAGAGAAGAACAAGUGCUAGAGUAACUGUUAGCGCCUUGACGGUAUCUAACCAGAAAGCCACGGCUAACUACGUGCCAGCAGCCGCGGUAAUACGUAGGUGGCAAGCGUUGUCCGGAUUUAUUGGGCGUAAAGCGAGCGCAGGCGGUUCCUUAAGUCUGAUGUGAAAGCCCCCGGCUCAACCGGGGAGGGUCAUUGGAAACUGGGGAACUUGAGUGCAGAAGAGGAGAGUGGAAUUCCAUGUGUAGCGGUGAAAUGCGUAGAUAUAUGGAAGAACACCAGUGGCGAAGGCGACUCUCUGGUCUGUAACUGACGCUGAGGCUCGAAAGCGUGGGUAGCAAACAGGAUUAGAUACCCUGGUAGUCCACGCCGUAAACGAUGAGUGCUAAGUGUUGGAGGGUUUCCGCCCUUCAGUGCUGCAGUUAACGCAUUAAGCACUCCGCCUGGGGAGUACGACCGCAAGGUUG